GGUUUUUGGAGUUCUAUCUCUUCCCAUGGCUGAAGGCAACUGUAUGCUUGGGAAGCUGACAGCCCCCUGUGCAGCACUACGAGGGCACGCGCCCAGGCGGAGGGAUUGUGAAAUACCUGGACUUGAGUUGCCACAGCUUCAGGACUUCGCCAUUUCCUGUCCUUGUGCAAUUGUGGUAAAAAGAAAACACUGCAGAGUUGGUUAAACAAAACUGAGAUGGCUGAAACCAAACACAGCUGGGGUGCAAUCCUGGGUUAGAAGAGACGUGCAAAGUGGCUGCUGCUCAGCUCGAAAUACAGUAUGUCACAGCACCACAUUUUUGUUGAAAACACACAACUACCAGAUAACCUACAAAUGCAUAAAUGAAGCGUCCCACAGGGCACGUAAUACCCAGAAUAAACAUUAGCUUCAAGGAUUAACUUCUGUUACAUACAGUGUAACUUAGAAGAACAUCAUUUGUACCUAACUGUCCUCUGCAGAUUUAAAUCUAUUCUUUGACUUUGAAAUUCUUAAAUGAAAUGUAAAGUUCGUACCUGUGGAUAAAAGGAAUUUCCAAAUACAAUCUGCAAAAGCAUCUUUUUGAUUUGAAGCAGAAGAAACGCCCGCGUUUGCAUGCUGUCAGUCUGACUGCUGCAAUACCCGCUCUGUGCAUCCAUUUACAGCCAUGAAAAGCUGCAGGAAGGAAUCUGUGUAACUGAAAACGCCUGUGUCUCCAGCAGCACAAAGGUAUGUGUUUUAACCAGCCAAAGGGAACCAACCAUGCUACGACCAACCAAAAUCCCCCAGUCCUUUUCCAUCCUCAGCUGGAAAAAGAAAGGACUUCAUAAAGCUGUUCUUUGCAGCACUGAAACCUCAGAGAAUGUUUUUAUUACAAAUGAAAGCAUUCCAACAGAGCACUUAACUCUGGACAGAGCAGGGCCUACUCCUGCUCAUGGGACACACAGCUGCUGCCAGCCUGUCGACCUCUCUUCCCUCAAUCUCCAGCAUGAAGCUGCUUUCUGGUGAGGUAGUUUUGCCUCCCCACUGCCUCUGUGUUCUGGGAUAUCUCCCGGCAGAAGGCCGUAUGUCACACACUCCCACAGCUAGCAGGAAAGCCCUUCACUUCCCUGCGUUUUCCAAAGCCACCACCUCAAAAGGUGUCCAAGCUUUUGCUCUGUGCAUCUCACACGGUUGUUUAAUUUCUUUCAGUGUUGACAUUAACAGCUCAAAUAGCUCUGAUAAUUUUUUAAAAAAAGCUUUAGCUACGAAGUGUUCUGCAACGUACACAUGUAAUAUACUAAUAUAUACCUCUCACCAUCACCAAGUGGUCAGGAAAAGCACGGCGAACACCAGCUCACCCCACAGCUGCACCCAUGGCUCUAUCACCACAGCCGACCAUCCAACACCAUGUUGGUGCCAACGGCUCCUUACGUCUGUGCGCCCUACACAGUGCUGGAUGAGAGGGGAGCUCUGCACAACGCCGCAGCUCAGAGGCUCAGACCUGAGCCACGUGCCCCAGCAGAACCCCAAGUUCAGCUGCUGUAUGGAACAUCCAGACCAAAGUCCUUCCUACGCAUCACUUAAUCCUGCAUUUCCACUUCCCUUCUGGUAACCACCUUAUCCGCUUCUCAACAUUUUGGCUGGAGGUAACACUAGGAUCAAAGAUCUUCCAUCACAAAGGGUUUGCAAUAGCAAAGGCAGAUUUUGGCCCACAGACAAAAGGCAUUAUUUCCCUGUUGACAUCCAGGAUGAACGUAACCUCAAUGCCACAACGAGCAUUCAAGGAGACCUGAGCUGUGCGACCAUCCAUCUCAGGCCCAGCAGCAAACCCAGAUUCCUGGUCACCAGGCACUGGAACAGAACAAAGUGCUGCUCUCAGACACACACAGGUGCUGGAGCUCUGCACACCUUCCACACUCUGUCACCAACACAGACCAACACCACAUUACUGGGAGCACAGAAGCAUUUGGUAACUCCUGUGUCAGCCCUGUGCAAAAGCAGAGUCCGUGGAAUGCAUGCACAGGGCACACACACAGCAGCACAGCUGGACCCCAAACAGCCACAGCUGUGCUGUCUUUCACAGGUCCCAGCCCCGAGCUCUGCUCUCAGCUCCAGCAGCAAACCUGCACUAAGUCGAGGCAGCAUCACAGACAGGGAUUAAAACCAGUCUGAAGCAACAACAGUCAAAGCAGCACUUCUGCCAUAACCUCAGAUAUUUCAACAGCAGUCAAAAAGACAGGGCCUAGCUGCCUUAUUUAAAGCAAUAAUCUGUAACUGUCACUGGCUCUCUUACAAGCACAGAAUGUGAAUGCAACAUUCAAUCAUCUGUUUCUUCUAAAAUCAGUAAAUAUUAUGGCCUGUUUGAUUCCGAUGACUGUUUGGAUGAAUUAGUAAGAAACAGACUCAUGUGAAAGUGAGAUGUGAAAAACAGACAUUACUUUUCAGCCACAGACCUGAAAACGUUCUUCCAGUGCUUGACUACCAAUGAGAUAAAUGUUUGCUUCUUUCUCUUCUGUAAAUUGAAGAACCCCGCAACAGUGCGCCGGGUGUUUGUGAGCGCUUUGUCUCUUUCUGUGGAGUAGUCAAGGAGAGCUAAAGCAAGUGGAAUUCAGCACAAUGCAUAAUUCUAAGUAAACGUGUUGCCUGUGUUCAGCCAGCAAGGAAAGAAAGUGGGUCCAGAGAUGAAAAAAAAUCCAGAAAGCAGUGGAACAAAGCCCAGUCCUACAAAAAUGUUGUUGAAUUUGGAGCAAACACUAUGCAGAUUUUACCACAGUGCAAUGCAGAUAUUUAUUAGCUCUGUUGCUUUUCAUAAAUCUCUGAGUCAAGGACUAGACUUCAAAUAAAGUAUUUGUCCUUCUUUUUUUGAAAUACCUGAACAAGCCUAGCCAGCAUCUUUUAAAGUAUUUUAUGAUGACAAAUCAUUCAAUUAUAGAACUUGCCAAUUCAUGGCCUGCAUGUUAUCUAUCACAAAAGAGUGUCUGCAGAACAUAAUGAGAAGUGAGUUCACUUCCAGCCCGUCCAGGUUUUCCAAUCUUGUUCAUCAGUGACGUUACUAACCAUUAACCAUUUUCCUGUAGAGCAGUAAACAGCAUGACUCACCUCUUUAUCUGCUCCUCUUCCUCCCAGAGGGGGAACUGUGUAGAACACAUUGUUACACCAUUUUACACACACACGCACUGCUGCUGUGCUUUUUGCUCGAGGAGCAAGGCAACACAUCUUGCAGGUGGAGCAGGAGGCCCAGAGUGCUGUGUUUAAGCUCCUGGGAUUGCCCUCUGCUUUCUGAGCUGUCCCCUGGGGAAGCAUGGUUUCACAAAGGAGCGUUAUUCUUACUGCAGCUGCUUCUGUUGGGCCAGAGGUACACAAGCUGUCACCCCAUCAUCUUCGAGCUGUCUUGGAUCCAGGCCAUAGAUCAACAAGAAAUAUUAAGACACUGAACUUAAUGCAGAAUACAAUGCCAAGAUCAAUGUGAAAUGGGAGGAAAUAUUUGAUACAAUCCUAUGUUUUAUAAACGGCAAAGUUUCAAAAGAAAAAGUAAAGAAAAGCACUGCUAGAAUGGGGCAGUCUUUAAUAAUCCACGCCAGAAUGCAUUAAUUGCAGAUCAUAACACAACCGUGCAUCAGUAACAAACCCAAGCAUGUUCCUAUGCUGCUGGCUUAGUACUACUGAGCUUCUGCUUUCUGCUGCAUGAGUCAGUUUCUGUUUGGUUGACCUCUCUGGCUUUGCUGAGGAUUCAGAGCUCAUCCCAGCACUUGGCUAAAACUUAUCACACAGAGCAUUUCUGAGUGCUCGUCGGACUACACUGUGUUUGAACACAGAACUGCUUCUGCAAAUGAGGCCUUCACUCUAUCCAUCCGAAAGGAGUACUCCACAUUUCCUGAAUCUUGGGCCAUGCUGAAAAUCCUUGAAUUGUGAUUCCACUGUGGUAUCCACUAUUUUCUUGAACAAUCACUUCAGCAAGAAUAUUCACUGUGAGGUACUUCUGUACGAAUCUUCCUGACAAGCAUCUCCAUUGGAGAAAAAGGGCCAUCAGAAAACCUCCCAUCUCCACACAUCAAAAUGGGUUACUGGGAAGAAUCUCUCUCAAAAGGGAGGUAGAAGUGUGCCCUCAAAAAACACAGGUGUACACAAACACGGAGCUGGCCUGGAGAACAGUGAGUACUGUGAAAACGUGUUACCUCUGACUACCAGUUCUGCAGAAAAGCAGCAAUGAUAGGGCAGACAACAUGGGAUGCAGAGCUAUAGCCCUUUGCUCUGUUCUCAGCACACCCCCUUGCUCACGAUUCUCCAAAAACACCAAGAAAAAGCAAAAAGGAAAGUAGCUCUCUUUUGUAAAGGGCAGAGCACUGUGCCAGAAGAGCCUGCUCCAACUCGAGCUCCUUACCGCAAGAAACAUUGCCAUGCACAUCUUCAAACAUGGACAUCUCAAGCAGGCAAACCCAUCAACAACCACUGUAAGGAGGAAGUGUCACAGUGACUGCACACGGCUCUGCAUCCAGUGGUAUGUUGCUGUUUCUUAAGUGACCUUCAAGGACUUCUGCUUUAAAUACAAUAGAAACUUUAAAUUAUAUUUGUUCUGAUGACAGAACUGUUUUUCCUGAAGUCCUCCAAUUCUUUAACUUUUCAAAGCAGUGAUGCAGCUUUAUCUUGCCACUAUCUUUUUCUCUGGCCCCAGUCCCCCAUAGAUCAUUCAGCCAUAACAAGCAGCAGACUUGACGUGAAGACUGAAGAAAAUCAAGGAACUUGCAUGGCUUUUUUCCACCAGUAAGUUUCUUAGAGCAGCAAAAAAGUAACUACUAAAAGCUACAGAAAAGAUUCUAUGCACAACUGAAAAUGCCCAGAAUUCAGAGCUCCUCCCUGCUGUGCUUCUUGUGCACCGUUCUCACAUCAUUUCAAGCAAGCAGAUAUUUGGAAAAAGCAAUGCUUCGUUCUCAACUGCUAGCAGCAUGAAUCCAGAUCAGUGCUUAAAGCUAACAGAUUAAUCCCGUGACCCCCAAAAGGUUUAGGGGUUGUUUGUUUUUCCAGUUGUUGCACUUGAUGUUGCAUCUUGCUUAGCAGAUGUUGCGAACACAAGCAAGAAAAGGCACACGAUUGAGAGGAGAGUUACACAAAUGUGAGUGUUUGAAAAGCGACUGUUGGAAAAACAAAUGUUUUAUGCAUUAUGGUUGGUUUGAGAGUUUUUGCUGUGUUUUACAUUAAUGUUUUAUGUAUCGCCUCUAAAAUUUGGAAUGACUUGAUUUCUCACCGACUUGAAAGAGAAGGAAAAAUAAUUCUGAAGCGUCAGUAAUUGUCUGCACCAAAGUCUGCCACAAACAGGACAUCAAAGAAGGGAAAGUUACGACACUGCCGAGGCUCCAGAGUGCAUUCCAUUUUCUGGGGCAGAUUUGGCUUGAUGCAGGGCAGCUUGAAUUCUGAAAUGUGUUCUCGUUUCCAUGGAGUAAUUCUUGUAGUUUUGUCUAAAACAAAAGCAGAGCAACUCUGAUGAAUGCAUAUAUUUUCAAACGUUUUCAAGUUAUCUUUAUAUUACUGCUCUAAGCAAAACAACUGUAGACAGCAGAACGCCUUCCUUCAUAAGCUCUUUUGUUGCCUACUGUAAAAUACAUGGCAUGUGCUCCUAGCCAGACAAUGCAGCUCUUUGUUCUUUAUUUGUAGUUCUACUGUCUGGCAAUUACCAGAAAAUACAGCUUAAUAAGAACUGGAUUUGUUCUACUCAAUAAAAAUAUUUAAAAAUAUUAGAUAACCAUAACAUCUACUUAAGUUUACAUUCAGAAAUUAGAUUUUCUUUCUCCUCCUAAAGUAUAGCUGACAACCUUGACCAGACUUUUUUUUUUUUUUUUUUUUUUAAGAGUUGUCUGCAACUUCCUUGCCAAAUCACAGUAAAAUAAAUAGAUGAGAAUUAACAUGCAAGGAAAAAAAAGCUAUGCCUUCCAAAGAAAUGGAGAUGAGUUCAUGCUCAGCCUUGAAGUUACUCUCAGACACGUUGCUCAGGAGAAGACCUGAACCCUAUUCUGAGGCAGGACUCACUCCUUUCCCUGUGCUACCUACAAAGCAUUCCUGAGUCCGAGGCCCACCUGUCCUCACCUUAGCUCGGCAGUCAUAUUUCAUGGAAGUAAACGGAACAAAGGAAAAAGAAAAAAAAGAGAGAAGCUUUCCUGAGCCCUUCUGAAGGAAGUGUGCCAUCACCACGUUGCGGUUAUCACAGAUGAAGACUGUGUGCGUAGGAAGCAAAGCCAGGCACUUUGCUGCCCUAGAAGUUUGGAAAGUGGGUACACACAAAAGUCCAUAUCUGCUUUCAAAGACCAAUUUGCCAGCCCACAGAAAGACUGGCGGGACUUCCCCCACAAACAUCCAGCAGCCGAUUCAGCAGUGCUGCCUGCCUGUUGUCUCCUGUAGCUAAGUCACAUCCUGAAGAGCCAUAGGCACGUUAGAAGACACUGUAUUUUCAUGGAAAAACAGAAAAUGCAGAUCCCACUUGCUAGGAAUUAGCAUUUCAGCUCUUGCAGGAUUGAUAUAGAAUCCAAAUACCAAGGAGGAUAAGAAAAUUAGCAGGGUAACUUUCUUUUAGCAGAUACUUGUCAUCCUUACAGAAACGUUACAUCACAUAUUAAACAGUCUGCAUAAUCUUAUAAACACUUCAGCUCAAAAUUCAUAAUUCAGAUGAAGCGUGGAGGCAAGCAUCUGCCACUACAGCAGCCUCUCAGCAAAUACUAGGCAUUCCUUGCCCAUCCCAUCCUCACUUGUAAUUUUAUGUAUGCAGCACUCAAGGGGCUGACUGAGAAGAGGAAAUGAUGGGUUGUGCUGUAUGCUGAUCUGAAACACUCCGGAGUUUUUACCGAAAAUUAACUAGAUUUUGUCAUGCAGAUAUUAAAGAAUGCCUCUUGUAUUUCUCGUCAGCAGGCUGAUAUUGUUGCUUGUAGCUUGUGGUAAUACAAAUAUAAAUAUUUCCAUGCGUGAUCAAGCCAAAACUGCUUAUCAUCUCAUUUCACUCUUUCUCCUGGAGUUGAAACAUUUGAGCCAGCAGCAGUAUGUAGAUUUAGGUCAAGCAAAUCAAGCGUCACACACAAGCAGAGCACUCAUUUCCACUCCUGCCAACAGUGAACACAGUUUUGCAAUUCUGAAACCCACCACGGACAACACACCCUCCCUCUAGCGGCUGGAAAGGCGUUCAGCAUUUUUAGCUGAAGGCUCAUAAAACAUUUGUGUACGUUCUGAUUGAGGAUAACAGCUACAGGCGGUAACUUAGCAGCUGCAUGGGGUCACUGUCCCUGGAGGUGGACAACCAUGGGGAUGUGGCACCGAGGGACAUGGCCAGUGGGCACGGUGGGGUGGGUUGGGGUUGGACUUGGACUGGGUGAUCUUGGAAGUCUUUUCUAUCCUCAAUGACUCUGAGAUUCUAAGACCUUUCUUUUUUUCUUACUGUUACAGUUUCCGUGAGCUCUUUGAGUGUGACAAUCCUGAGUAUUAGCUUUUCAUACAAAGUUUUAAAAGCUGUGAUCUGCUGAGCUUUCUGUAAGCCAAACAUUGUCCCUUGAAGAGACUGUGACCUGAGCCACACAAGCUGCCAGGUGAAUGGGGGAAAGGCUGAGUGGGAACUGACAGCAGCACUGGGCAGAAUGAGAAGCUCUGUAAUGUCAGUUUCUGGACCUCUUUUUAAGAUUUGAAUAAUCUGUAUUCAAAUACGGCUUGAGGUGAAGUGCGUUUUGAGGAACAUGAAACUGACUAAAACAAUUUCCAUUGCAUUUUGCAAAUAGUAUUUUUGCUACCCUUACUAUCUACCACGAGUCUACAGAGAACCAGGCUCACAAGCACAGGGGAUUCAGGAUUGCAAUAUUGUAAUUUCUGUGUUGACAGGCUUUUGGCAUCGCCUUCAGCAGGCUAAUUCACCACUCUUAGUGGACUGACUUGGACAAGAGAUCGACACAAAACUCCUCUCUCUGACUUCUUUGGAAGAUGGGGCCAGAGAUCAGCUUUGCAGCCCCACACCUGCAGAGUGGCUGGCGACUGCGCUUGGAAAUGUGCAGACAUCUGGACUCGUUCAGCAUCCAGGCAGAGGUGAACUGCCCUGCUGCAGGAUGCCUGAAGGAGACCAGUGUUGUUUGGUUUGGAAUGCCUUUUUAUUUUCUCCUUUCUUUUUCUUUCUUCUCCCCAGAUAGAAAUUUUGGCUCUGCAAAGCAUCAAAGACUAGGAUAGAGGCAAAACUAGAUUUCUUAGGUUUAGAACCAAGAAUGUAGAAGAACAAGUCCAGCAAUUCCUGAUAAACCUGCUCUGAUAGAAAAAAAUCAAUCACAACAAAUAUAGCAAUGGCAGGUGUUUCAGCUGCCUCAGAUACAGUCGAAAAGGCAAAGAUACCAGAUGCAAACUGGAACAUUGUCUUAAGUGUAUUUCAUCGAGGAAAAAACCCAGCACUGCUAGCCAUCAAUCUGAAUAAUGUCUUUUCAGCCCUAGCACAGAGCUGUAAUUUCAUUUAAUACAUCCUUUAAGAAUAAGUAAAUAUAUUACAAAGAAAAUUACACUUUGUUACACAUGGAUUAUUUCUUACGGAAGACCCUGACACUCGUAUUAACAUCCUUAAAAUUAUUUUUGCUCUUAUCAGAAUGGAUGGGUAACUCACAGACGGAACCAUCAGAUACUGUCUCAGAUACUGUCUACUACCUGAAAAGGUCCCAACCAAACCUAGGGCAAUGUGUGCUUCAGCUGAAUAAACAAAAGAGUUUGUAUAGUAUUAACGCUUCUGCUUCCUGCUCAUCUGUAACACACCAUACUGACCCACCAGAACAGGCUUUUAACUUGCUUACUUUGCUCUUUCUAGUAGUUUUAUUGCUUCUUCUCUUCUGUCCUGGUCCAGAUACAGCAAUGCAAGCUCCAGCAAGGCAUUUGGAAUUAAAUAAUGGUCGUAUUUUAUCUUCUUCUCACUGCAUAGGAAAAGAAAUAGCCUCAAGAUCUUGACAUAAUUUGUUGUUCCCUUCAUUUAACAGCUCCAAGCAAAAAUAAAUAGGAGAUUAGCUAAGAUAAAGAGGAGCAAUCAAUCUUUAUUACAACAUUUGUUGUGUUCUCUGUCCAAUGCUACCUUCUAGGUUAUUUAAUGGUGUGCUUUACCAUAACCAUCACACAGAACGUAUUAUUUCUUGGGAUUAAAAAUUAUUAGCAUUUAUUAUAGGGGAAAUUUUUAAAAAGGUGAUAUUAUUAAAAGCACUGUGUGAACUGAGAAAGAGAGAUCCCAUUCACAACGUACAGGAGUUCCAAAUACUACCAUGGUGCCAAUCAUCUCUGGAGACUACAUUUGGUUCUUUAGGCAUAACUGCUAAGAGGAAAGGAAGGAAAAAACAGUGGUAUCACAAAAACUGUAUGCGUGUAUAGUUCCCCAAGAGGAGAAAGUAUCAGUAAGAAGUGCAGAAUUGCAAUUCUUCCUCCUUAUAUGGCUAACAACACUGGCAAUUAAAACUGUCAUCCCCUGGAUAUUGAAACAAGUGAAAUAAAUACUAAAGAUUCUGUAAUCCUCUCUGUUCACAUCAAGGUUGCACUUGCUCUUACUUGAAAUGAACAGGUACUGAGAAAUUCUGCCUGUAUGCCAGGUAUGACAACUUACUUUAAGUAGAUGUAAUUAAAAUGGCCUUCUGCCUCUGAGAUCUUGCCCAAAUGCUUGAGGCAUAAACCCUUUAACAGUUUUAUCACGCACUGGUCAUCUGCUAGCAAUUCCGUAGCUGCAAGAUGAAGUAAAUGGCAUAUUUUAGAAAACUUUUUAGAGCAGUACAGACUUUGCUAUGUACAGCGAAACUUUUACACAGGUAAGUAUGAUAAGAUCUAUUUACUGGAACACAGGACAAAAGGAACUACCUGACCCAUUAACAGGAAACAACCCUGAAUGAACUUAUCACAGACAAACCUGUAUCAUGAAAUAUCAGCUAACAAGAAAUUUAAGUAAUACGUAUGACAUUGCAUCUUAUGCUGAAUUUCACCCUGCUUCUAUCAUGUACAGUGGUCCUUUAUCCAGUUCUUCCUCUGCCACUCCAGUUGACAAAAUGCUGACACAUUCUGCAUGGAACUGCUGCUCCCCUACAGACUACGCCAGCCCUAAUGAUUCUAUGUUCACAUGGAUGCAUCUUCUCUACUUAUAAUGCAGCCUUCAAACUGCC
rnacentral:lncRNA from 1 species